UUUUCCGGCUGGAACCAUGGAGGGUGCCGAAGAGAAGAAAAAGAAGGUUCCUGCUGUGCCAGAAACCCUUAAAAAAAGCGAAGGAAUUUCACAGAGUUGAAGAUAAAACGCCUGAGAAAGAAGUUUGCCCAAAAGAUGCUUCGAAAGGCAAGGAGGAAGCUUAUCUAUGAAAAAGCCAAGCAUUAUCAUAAGGAAUACAGGCAGAUAUACAGAACUGAGAUUCGAAUGGCUAGGAUGGCGAGAAAAGCAGGCAACUUUUAUGUACCUGCAGAACCCAAAUUGGCAUUUGUCAUCAGGAUCCGAAGUAUCAAUGGUGUGAGCCCAAAGGUCCGAAAGGUGUUGCAGCUUCUUCGCCUUCGCCAGAUCUUCAAUGGAACCUUUGUUAAACUCAACAAGGCUUCAAUUAACAUGCUGAGGAUUGUAGAAUCAUAUAUUGCAUGGGGGUACCCAAACCUGAAGUCAGUAAACGAACUAAUCUACAAGCGUGGUUAUGGCAAAAUCAAUAAGAAACGAAUUGCUGAAAAUGGGUACAAUUGGUACCUUCGUGAAACGUUCUCCUCUCCAAAAUGA